UCGCCAGACUCCUACGGGAGGCAGCAGUGGGGAAUCUUCCGCAAUGGGCGAAAGCCUGACGGAGCAACGCCGCGUGAUCGAAUGAAGGCCUUCGGGUUGUAAAGAUCUGUUGACAGGGACGAAUAAGCAAUGCGAAUAGUUUUGUGUAUGACGGUACCUGUUUAGAAAGCUCCGGCUAACUACGUGCCAGCAGCCGCGGUAAUACGUAGGGAGCAAGCGUUGUCCGGAAUUACUGGGCGUAAAGGGCGCGUAGGCGGGAAAGCAAGUCAGAUGUGAAAUCCAGGGGCUCAACCUGUGGCCUGCAUUUGAAACUGUUUUUCUUGAGUACUGGAGAGGCAGACGGAAUUCCUAGUGUAGCGGUGAAAUGCGUAGAUAUUAGGAGGAACACCAGUGGCGAAGGUGGUCUGCUGGACAGCAACUGACGCUGAGGCGCGAAAGCGUGGGGAGCAAACAGGAUUAGAUACCCUCGUA
rnacentral:rRNA from 1 species